UACGUAGGGUGCGAGCGUUAAUCGGAAUUACUGGGCGUAAAGCGUGCGCAGGCGGUUUUGUAAGCCAGAUGUGAAAUCCCCGGGCUUAACCUGGGAAUGGCAUUUGGGACUGCAAGGCUUGAGUGCGGCAGAGGAGACUGGAAUUCCUGGUGUAGCAGUGAAAUGCGUAGAUAUCUGGAGGAACACCGGUGGCGAAGGCGGCAUCCUGGACCGGUAUUGACGCUGAGGCGCGAAAGCCAGGGGAACAAACGG
rnacentral:rRNA from 1 species